rnacentral:lncRNA from 1 species
GAGAAGGCGGUGGCCUAGAAGUAGGCGGUGGCCUAGAGAAGUAGGCGGCCGCCUACUACCCCUUUCGUAAAUCCAAAGUAGGCGAGCGGCGAGGCUAGGCGGGCGCCGUGCGCGCAGCGUUUUUGUUUUGGUCCGUUCUCCCUCGUUUCAAGUCGGAUUUUAGAUCCGUUUUCGCCUACGAACUCGUAUCGAGACGAACUUUGAUUCUUCAUCAGACCAUUCAACUAAAUUCUGACUUUAAUUUUGUUCACAU